GAACCCUCACUGCUGAUUGCCACUGGAGGUGUUAAUGACAGAUUCUGAGGCAUUGUGAUCCUCAAAGACUGGUUUGAAUGAUUCUCCUUCAUUUUCCUUUCUAUGGACAGACCCCCUAAUCCCCUGGAGAUCCCAAUCAGCGUGAACAAAGAGUUCCAGGUUUUCUGGAAAACCCUCUGGAUUUACUGCUGUGAGAUGAUUAACAUUCUUGAGUGCACAAGGAGUUGUCUGUACUUAGGAUGGAAGAGGCUGGUCUGAUUCUUGGGCUGUCCCAGACAAUCUGUGGCUACAAAGGCCAAGGUUCCUGUGUGCUGCCAGGCAAUGGAUCACUGCAAAUAUGUUGUAUAUUUGUGUGAACACCCAACAGUGGUCACAAAAGCAACCCUUGGGAGCAGAAUUCCUGAGAAA